UUUCAAAGGACUUUAGCCUACGAAAUUAUAUGAAAAGUCGUCGGUUAAAGUCGAAAAUUUUUCAAAAUUUUCAACCAAAAUUUUUUUGCGGUCAACCAAAAUUUUAAAAAGAGUUUAGCCGACGAAAAUAAAGAAUUUCGUCGGGUAAAGUUCUUUAUAUAGAAGUUUUACCAGAGGUGGAUAGUAAGAAGUCAGAAAAUCAGAAAAAGUUCCAGAUUUUCUUCUCGGCCUAGCUCCACCGUCAAGCAACUGGAGACCGCCACACUUGUCCCAAAAGCUUCGUCGUCGUCUCUACUUCAUUGCUGGACAGGUGGUGCAUCGAGUGGCGCCGCCGUGAGGGAUAAAUCGAGCUCCAAAACUCCGCCGGUUAGGAUUCGGUGUCGAUCGAAUUUCUCCUUCCUCAGGUCACCAUUUGGUGAGUUCUAUAUAUGGAUAAGUUGAGUUUGAUUAGUACUACAUUCCCCUAGAAUUUGGUAGCUUAAUUCGGUGUGUGUGAGGAGAAUCGAAGAUUUGAAGUUUUUAGGGUUUAAAAUUGGGGAUUUUUAUAUUUUGAUUCAAUUGACCUGUUUAGGCUUAGAAUUGGGCUUCGACUAGAAAGUUGUUCGAAAUGUUGAGAGGAAGAUUCUGUCAAAUUUUGGUGGUGAUUGGAGGUGGCCGAAAGUUUCUGCAGUUUUUUUUUCAAAAACCAGCAACUUUAGCCGACGAUAUUUAAAUACCAUAUUCGUCGGCUAUAGUAUUUUUAAAUUUUUUAUAAGGUUUAGCCGACGAAUUAUGGCAUGUUUCGUCGGCUAUAGUUAUUUUUUUAAUUUUUUUUAUAAGGUUUAGCCGACGAAACAGACUAUAUUUCGUCAGCUAUAGUUAUUUUUAAAUUUUUUUUUAUAAGGUUUAGCCGACGAAACAGAUUAUAUUUCGUCGGCUAUAGUUAUUUUUUUUAUUUUUUAUUACACACUUUUGCCGACGAAUAUCUUAUUGUUUCGUCAGCUAAAGUCUGGGAAAAAAACCGACGACAUUUUUUUCGUCGGCUAAACUGUGGGACUAUAGCCGACGACGUCUUUUUUUUUCGUCGGCUAAAGUCAUCGCCGACAACCUUUUCCCGACGAAACUAUAGCUGACGAAGGUUCGUCAGCUAAGAUCUUAGCCGACGAAUUAAGCUAACAGGCCGACGAAACUUUUUCGUCGGCUAAAGUGCUUGUCCUGGUAGUGUUAUUAUUAUUUGAUUUGAGAUAUAUUUUAUAUCUGAUAUUAUUAUUGUCUUUGUAUGGUAAUAAGAGAAGGACCUACUGGAAACCAAUCUGAUUAAAGACGUGAAUAAAGAGUAGAAGUUCUUCAUCUAUAAAGAAGAUUGGAAGAAUACCUUGUGCACAAUUGUUCUUAGAGAACUAUCUUUGCACGCAUAUUUGAGAGAUAGUAUUUCUGCUGUAAUACUUUGUAAGGUCACAAGUUCAACUGUUCCAUGUUGAGUUGAAC
rnacentral:lncRNA from 1 species